UACGAAGGGGGCUAGCGUUGUUCGGACUUACUGGGCGUAAAGCGCACGUAGGCGGACUAUUAAGUCAGGGGUGAAAUCCCGGGGCUCAACCCCGGAACUGCCUUUGAUACUGGUAGUCUCGAGUCCGGAAGAGGUGAGUGGAAUUCCGAGUGUAGAGGUGAAAUUCGUAGAUAUUCGGAGGAACACCAGUGGCGAAGGCGGCUCACUGGCCCGGUACUGACGCUGAGGUGCGAAAGCGUGGGGAGCAAACAGG
rnacentral:rRNA from 1 species